AACAGCCUACGGGGCGCAGCAGUGGGGAAUAUUGCACAAUGGGGGAAACCCUGAUGCAGCAACGCCGCGUGAGUGAAGAAGUCAUUCGUGAUGUAAAGCUCUAUCAGCAGGGAAGAAAAUGACGGUACCUGAGUAAGAAGCCCCGGCUAACUACGUGCCAGCAGCCGCGGUAAUACGUAGGGGGCAAGCGUUAUCCGGAUUUACUGGUUGUAAAGGGAGCGUAGGUGGCAUGGCAAGCCAGAAGUGAAAACACGGGGCUUAACCCCGCGGAUUGCUUUUGGAACUGUCAGGCUGGAGUGCAGGAG
rnacentral:rRNA from 1 species